AACAUGCCGCCGAUGUAGGCGUGACGCUCGUCAAAGCCCUUAUGGAUGAUGGCAUUGAUGAAGGGAGAACCUGGCAGGAGAAAAGAGAAACUUCUUAUUCACCACUUUCUGAAUCUGCAGUCAGAGGGAGGACAGGACAAAAGGAAGGAUGAAGAGUGAAAAAAGAAAAGUUUGAUGUGCUUUGAAUAAAAAGGUCGUGCAUGUGUGUUCACAUACCUCCUCCUCCACAGACUGGAACUCCUUGUCGUCCGGUGCCAGGUCGAUCAGCACAGUGCCCUGGCUGGAGCAGUGGAAUGUCAGAUAUGGGUUUGCACCUACCGACGCACAUUUUGAAUAUCAAUCAGGACAGAAUGAACCAAGACAAGGAAUAGGUGACAACACCUUUUGGGUAUCUGGCCUAAAGGUCAUGUACUCUUAUUUGUGAUCCAAGUACAAUCACUUCUAAUGGCUGGUUUGAGGCCUAAUAAGCUAUUUUUAUUCAAAUAUUACAGGUAUAUACAUGUAUAACCUAAUACUUUGCUGUAUAGAUGU